UUAAUUUCAUCGAAACAAACAAAAAAAUGGAAAUUACCUGCAUAUUACACUUGACGAGAUCCAUCGGCGUGACGGCGGUGUGAGUGAGGCCGCAGCACAGCAGCCCGCCGACGGUACACGCGGCGUAAAAUGCCGGAGAGAACAUUUCGAUC